UGGAAAGCACACCAUUAGGGAGACAUGUGCAUUCAUUCCAGGACAACAUUUUUCUGGUUUCAGGAAUGGAAUACGGCUUUUAGACAAGACAUUCUCAUUGACGUCACUGCACCAACCACAGGACCAAGGAAUACAGCAAUGCAUUGAUGUAGUGCAUAUAUUUGUGCUGCUCCUAGGCUUUGGAACAACCUCCCCUUAAUGCAACGGUAAACAAUCAAGAGAUGGUGUCAAAGUAACCUGCAAGAGGAGUUUCUAUAGCCGAAGAGUCUGAGGAGGAGUCAUUGAGCUGGGCUCGUCUUGAGCCCCAGAUCUUGCAAGAAAGAAGGCAAGACCAACGUAUUAUGCUUGCUACUUGUCCAAGUUCAGCCGCGUUGAGCCGUCUCUAGAGUUUACGCUGGCCCAACUUGAACUGGCCACCUGGCUUGAGGCCAAACAUUCUAGACAGCGUUUCGGAACUAUUUAUUUGAUCUAGAGAGAAUGUGAGUGGGUAAAGACGUGACGCUAUUAAUAGUUACUGUAUCAAUUAAGUGGUGAAUGACCCGUGGUGAGAAAUAACUUAAUUUCAGUGUACCGUCGAAGUUAGGACUCCAGAUUCCUGUUUGUCUAGUCCGAAGACGUAUGUGCACAGACGAGACCUGGUUUACGUUUCAAAUGGGAAGGACCUCUCGCUGUCAGGUAAACAAGACCCUGGCAGUGUGCAUGAAAAAGGCUGUCACCCGGCAGCCUUUCUUGCUAUUCCUUGGCAGCAAGACUGAUGUACAGCAACUGUUUCUUCAAGUUGAAGAUUUCAAACAUCCGGCAUUGUAAAUGUGUGUGUUCAACUUGGCAUAUCCUGCACCAGUGCGCAACUGGUACUUGUACCUUCUGACACAGAUCUUUGGACUAGAUAUGCAGGGUUGUCAAAUGUCACCUAGAGUCAGAGAACUUGCUCCAGCAGUGCAGGCUACUUCUUAGAAUCUGGAGCACUUGUAAUCAUAAAUCAUUCACACUUUCAUCUACCAUCAUUUGAAAAAACAGAACCCUUAACUCUUCAUUGUUACCCAACUAAUGCUGUAAAAAUUUAUCUGAUGGGACCCUCCACAAAUUGCCUUAUAUUUCACUGGUCAUGUGUUGUUAUUCAAAAUGACUGUCAAAUCUAUCUGAUGAGAUGUUGUUGCGAUGGACAUAUCGUACUAAUCAUGUGAGUGGGGGUGGUUAAAACUUGUUAAUUACUGUAACUUCAUUGUUCAAUUUCAUUCAUGGUUGAAAAAUAUAUCUGAUCGGAUACUUGAUUAUUAGAAUUUAGUGUUGUUGUAGGCCUAUAUCAUCAUUUUAAUAUGUGAUUAUCAUUAUUUUCUAAUGCACAUCUGAUCUGAACUGAAAUAAGUACUAAAAGUUUAUACUUGUUACAGUUGUUUUUCCUUUGGACAAAAAUAUUGUGUUGUUAGAGUUGAUAUAAAUGCACAUGUCUGUGUUUGAACAUGCCUUACCCACAAAAAACACUCUGUAUUUCUCUGAAAUUCAAAGAUAAAAGAGCAGGUUUAUAUCAGAAAAAUGUGUCAUAUUUGCCCCUUCUGUACUGCAGGAGUGCAACAGCGACAAGGUGUUUUGUGUGGUGCACUGCACGUGCUGGGUGGAGGCUAAAGUAACACUAUGAGUGCCGUUUACCAGCCUAUACAAGGAGUUGUUUUAGCACUCAAAGUGUACCUUUUUGGAUGUUUUAUGUGUAUUCCUUAGCACUAAUAGAGCAAAAGAGCAAAACACUUAAAGUGUUUUUCCAAGCACCCGGACUGGUGCUAACCCAUUACACUUAAACAAGUGCUAAUUUAGCACAAAUUGUGCAGUCCCUAUGCGAGCACUAACAAGCAUUAUCGCCAUAUCGCCAGGUGCUAGAAAUAGCACUUCAUUUUUAGACUGUACACUGACAUCCAUAAUGAUGGCUCUACAUUGGCCCAUGCACUUACAAGUCAGGUCAUCUAUUUCCAACCUUUGUGUCAUUAUGACUUCAAGUGUGCAAGAAUUUGCUAAGGAAAAUCCGCCUUCUUUGGAGGCUGCAAAAGACAAAUUUAUCAAAACAAAAAUGAAAAUUGAAAACAUAAGAGAUCCAGAAGAGUAGAUGAGGCCAUGGAGCAUUCUUUAUAAUGAUCACUUUAUGGUCGAGAAUGCCAACCGGACAGGUGCAUUAUAACUGACAGGCAAAUUGAUCUCCAGAGCAUUAAAAAGAUCCGUGACAAUUUAUGAGGCACGGCAAUCAAAUUGAAUGGAACCCUUUACCAACGAAUUCUCAACCAAGCGUUAUUUUUGAAAUGGCUCUCGACUUCGCCAGAGCUCAUUCUUACAUUUUGACCAGUGCCAGAAUCAACCCACUGAUUACUUUAUGGUCUGAAUAUUGAGGAAAACGGACAGGAUAGGCGGUCUUAUACGAUAUGACCUCAACAAUGAACAAAUUUGCUGAUCACUGUAUUUUAAUUUCGUGAGUGGCACAUAAUAUCCUGUUAAAUCCUCCCCCUAUGUAUACCUUUUCAGGAUAAUAACUACACUGCGCGACUCUCCGCUCUGAUUGUGUUUGGCAAACUAAGUACCAAUGGGGGAGACAUUUCUAGACAUGAAAAAGGGUAGAGUACACAAUCGCUUAAUCAUCCUUUUUGCUUUUGGAAAAUGAAAAGCCAUGAAAUAGUGAGAAUCCUGACAGAGAGAACUUACAGUCAUUUCAUCGACUAUAAUUUCUGGGCAAACCAUGCGUGCACACAUGCAAUCGAGUCGUGGCGUUGCCAUGGAGUUGUUUAUAUAAUUCCUCCAAUAAUUAUAAAAUUCAUGAAAUCCAAGAAAUGACAUGCAACGAACCAGUUUCCAAGCAUGGAACGACAUGGUACAAGAGAAGUAUCAUGUCGAUAUAAAGAAAAGAAUAAACAUGCAUUUUGUUGUUUUUUAUGUGAGCUGGAAGUACACUUUCAGUCCGAUAGUUUAUUUGAUUUGGUUAUAAGGAAAGUUUAAUUCACUUCUCCAGGCAUAUUCUCCUUGGUAGCCUUCUGCCGCGAUGAACGACCUUUUUCUAGAAUGACGCCACCUUAUGAAGCUUUAGAGAGUAUAAUGGCAAGAGCUUAAUUACGGUAAAUAACGCAAUAUAACCUAAGCUAGCCACAAUAAGAGAGAUUUGAAUCAGACAGUAAUUCAAGCUCAUAGUGAAGCGUGGAGAGAACAUCCGCUUAAUGGGGUUAUAAUUGGUGGAUCUAUCCUUGGACGUCGAGGCAUCCGCCUCUCAUGUAUAGAGCUGUAUUUUGAGAAUAAAGGGGUGUUAUUGGCCAAAAACUGAAAAAAAGGCUUAAAAUGCUUUUGGGGGCAAAAAAAUUAUACUCUUUAAGAGAACCCAGGAACACAUCAAUUUUACCUAAUUUGAGUGUGUGAAUCAAACUAGAACUGUGACCAAGCUGUGUUUUUAAACAUUUAUGUGGUAUAUGACUAAAAACAUCUUUUAAAGUGGUUUGAAAUGGUAGUUUUGGCACUAAAAUGUAGCUUCAGUUAAAGUUUGGUAGGAUACAUUUCAUCAAAUUCGGGCUUGCUAUUACCUGUUUACCCAUACAGACAAAAAAGCAAAACGUGGGGUCAAAAACGGGUUUAACCACAAAAAGUACUGAAUAUAAAUCCAGUGCUGAUGAACUAUUCACCAUGUUCCUCAGGAGAAAUAUAUACUUGGGUCUGUGCACUGAAAAUAAAAACUAUUUUUGAACCAUGCAGAAGUUUA